GCAGAGGCCUGGGCAGCCCCUGCCUGCUGGGGCACUGGGAGGAGCCGGCCCAGGGGUUUGGGUCUGACGCAGCAGCAGAGGGAACCCUAGGGGGCUCUUGGGUGACCUAAUCCUUGAGGGUGGUGGGCAGGAUGGGGCUCCCGGGAGGGCUGGCUGUGGGGGUGCAGAGUCCAAGCCACGAGAUGGAGUUCCUAGUUCCUCUGUCUUCAUACUUGAGCCCAGGCCCAGCUGCCACCCAAGCGGCCCCCGGGGAGCCUUGACACUGAGAUAGGCCGAGAAGCUGGGCGGUGUUGGCACCAGGCCUGAGGCCUGCGGGUGCCAGGGGAGCUGACCCCCUCCUGGGAGCUGCCCCCGGGAGGGGCAGCGCAGCCCCGCCUGCCGGGCUUUAGAGCAGCUGGGAACAUUCUGCCCACACGGCCCGGGCCACGGCGCCUUCCCAAUCUGAGCCCCCGAACAGCCUGGUCGGGGGACUGGCCCAGCUUGGGAGGGGUAGUCAGGCCAUGGCCCCAGUGGUCAGAGACAGGGAAAUAGCGCUGGAACCUCUCCUCUCAAAUACAGUGAAGCCCCUUCCCAGGGAGGCCGCCCCAGGGUGCCACAGUGGGGCUCUGGGUCUGAGACCUCGGGUGCCCACACUCAGGGACAUGCCCGUGAAAUAAGGCAGGCACGUCGUGCUCCCUGGAUGGGCCGCCUGUUUUCUGCAGCACAUCCAAGAGGCAGUUUGGCCACAGACGUGUAUGAAAAAAAGACCACGUGAGGACGCGGUGAGAAGGCAGCCACGUGCAGGUCAAGGGCAGCUGCCUCCGGAGAAUCCACCCCACUGACACCUGGAUCUCGGGCCUCUGGCCUCCAGAACCGUGAGAAACCACAUGUCCGUUGUGUGAGCCACUGCCUGUGCUAUCUUAUUGCUGGCAGCCCUGGCAAACGAACACACCUGCCAACAAAACCCGUUUCUAGAGGACGGUUGCUGCAGACGGAGGUUUCCAAGGACAUAAUCACACCCGCCCCCUCCUGGGCCUGGCCACAGGGUCUCUACGUUCAGAGGAUCCGAGGAUAAACACCGAGCAGUUGCCCUUUAUUUUCAUUUAAUUGCCAUAGUAAUCUGUUUUAGAGAUGACAAAAUCCUCAGACAUUAGCUUGCCCGGGGUCACCCAGGUUGUAGUGGGAAGCAGGGUUCAAACUCCCUUCUGACUCCAGGUGCCACCUCCUUCUCCCGGGCUCAGAUAGCUGACGCGGGUGCAGGGGAGGCCAGGGGACGGGGCUGGGACAGCCCGCCCGCCUGGUGCAGAGAACGGUGAGAAGACUGGUCCGUCCGUCCCACUGAGUCCCGCAGUGGUGGUGAGGCUUCUUCCAUAACCCAGCCGGAAAAAACGCACUUCUUCCGUAAAACUCUCCAACAUACUCCACGAGGCAGGACGUCUCAUCACAUCACACACCACCCUUGUGCCGGAAGCUCUCCUUAACGAGUUUACCUGAUGGACCAAGGGAGCUUGUUCGUAGUACAUUCCGGUCUUUGCCAAGUGACUCCUAACCACACUGUUAUUUUUUCAAAAUACAUUUUAUUAGCGGCA